GUAGAGAAUUCGUUCUGCACGCAUAGAAGCAGCUAAAAACAACGCUACGGUGCAGGUCUUUCAAUGUAGUUAUUUCUUGUCACGCUCCAGCCUUGGAAAAUGUUUGUUUAUCUGGCAGUGUGAAACACUACUGAAUAGAGACCUACUCCUUCGUUGAGCAGCUGGUUGAGAAGUUCAUCAUCCCCAUGUUACGGGUGUCUUUUCAUCGUCUCAACCGGAGGAUUCACCAUGAAACUGACAGAGAACAGGGAGUCCAUUGACAGAGGUCUUACAGCUCUGAGGAGAGAGGUAUCAGGAGGAGACACCUUCAUGGAUGUUGGCCUGGAGAAGGUAACACUUACCUCAGAUACAUUGCCCCUCUGUGUUUUGCAUUGGUAUGUCGGUCCAUAUAUACAGAUAUCUCUAUAUAUGACUAUGUAUAGGCUGAUAUUGAGGAAAUAUGUUACCUGUUUUUAAAGGGACAGCCAGUGUGAUCAUUGUACUGACCGAUGGAGAGCUGAAUAAGUGGCAGUUUGAUACUGCACAACGAGAGAUGAGUACGCAAAAUCCACUUGCCUCUUAAAUGUCGCUGGAUUGUUUGUUUUCGUGUUACUCUGGCUCCCACUCUUACUUGGGCCAUUCAUUUUUUGACAUUGACGUAACGACAGCGGAAACAGUUCUACUGACCUGUCAAACACACUCCGGUUAUGGCUGAAAUGGACUCAAUGGAAUACAUUGGCUUAACAUUGCAUCUAUAAGAACGCCAAUGCUUAAUUUGAGAUGUAUUGCACCAUCUCGACACAUCACAAGAAAUAGCUUUAUUUUAGUGGGUGUUGAUUUUGGGUGUAAUCUUUCUUAUAAUAAAGUUGAAAUGUUUACAAAUGCCCUGAAAAGAAAGCAACUUUCAAAUCAACAUUCGGAUUAUAGUGAUAUUAUGUCUGAUCUUGCAAACAAUGUGGGUAUCCUUCUCUUGACACACUUGUUAUAUUAUGCAAGAGAACAUGACAACAGUAAUUAAUGAGGCAGUCUAGACAGUGGCGGUGAGGGCAGAUAGGCCUAGACAGACCACGUUUUGGGUGGUUGUAGCCCUUUUUAACCCAUUUAUGUUUGCAAAUAUGCCCAGUGUGUGUGUACGCAAAUGUGGCACAUUUGAAAUAAAAAUAAUUAUUAUCUUAAGUGACUUUUUAGUCAAAGUAUGAAAAACAUACUUAAUAUACUAAAAAGGUAUAUUUGAGUGCAUUAUAAGACAAAGUGAACUUUUACAAUAAAUGAAAUGCCUGAACUCCAUUCAUUAUUUGUGCCAGUACAAUAUUUUAUGUGCUAUAAUUCAGUCAACAUUUAAAUGUUUAAAAUCCUUCAGAAGGUUUGAAGUUGCUUCAUUCAUGGUUGUAUAUAUUUUUUUCCUUUUAACAAUUCCGAUGACUGUUGCUAAUCCUACUUUAAAUUCAAAGAUGGCGCUAAACAGAUCAGAGCUGUGUGUGUUCUCUCCAUGCAGGCACAGAGGGCACGGACGCUUGCAGCCAUAGUUUACUGUGUUGGAGUCAGAGUUCAACGAGACGCAGAACACACACACACAAGAAAUAGCUGUAUUUUAGUGGGUGUUGAUUUUGGGUGCAAUCUUUUUUAUAAUAAAGUUGAAAUGUUUACAAAUGCCCUGAAAAGAAAGCAACUUUCAAAUCAACAUUCGGACAAUGCAUGUUUUCUGUGAUUAUCAGCAAUAAAAUAAGUAUCUCCUGUGUGUGUUCUGUAGCUGGCCACUAGCAGACACCCUGGAGCAUGUAUUUCCUGUCUGUUUCCAAGCCCUAUCGACUCGGUACGUAUGGUAUUAAUGCCAAAAAAUAAUGGAAGGUCUUUGUUACUUCAAUUAAUACAAUACAUACAGAAAUGGUGCAGUGGUCCUUGUUUAAAAUUCAUCCAUAGAACAAGUGUAUCUAUCAAGUCAUAGCUAUCUAACUUUUUAACCAUGUCUUUUCAUAGUAAAUAAGUCCUAUGUAUAGGCCUACAAUACGUCUACCUGCGUAAUGACCCACUGUCUUCUGUGUUUUCUGCAUUGAGAUUCUAGCUGCUGAACCGUCCAGUGUGUGCAAGAAGUAACACUUCCUUCCAUUUCAAAUGCCUAUUGAGCAAUGUGCAAUGCAUCUUUUUCUGUAAAACUGUGCCUCUUAGGAAAGAUUUUAAAGAACCAGAUUAAGUCAAUUUGUGGACUAAAAUAAAGGGUUAUUUUGAUCAAACCCAUUCAUCAAAUCUACCAUUUCUGUUUAUGGUAUUUCGUCAGACAGAUACCGUGACAGUGAAUGUGUUCUGGUUCAGCUGAGUAGUCAUCAGAGUACAUUAUCAUAAUACGGUGUGAGGUGAGCGCACGGCCGGCCAUGAUUACCUCAGAGAGAGAGAGAGACAGAGAGCAUAUUGUCCUGCACAGUCCUGGGAAAUGACCAUGUGUGUGCAGUGCCUUCAGAAAGUAUUCAUACCCCUUUACUUUUCCCACAUUUUGUUAUUACAAAGUGGGAUCAAAAUGGAUUUAAUUGUCAUUUUUUGUCAAUGAUCUACACAAAAUACCCUAAUGUCAAAGUGGGAAAAAAUUGAUAUUUUUGUAAUGGAAAAUAAAAAGCUUUUUUUGAUUAGAUAAGUAUUCAACCCACUGAGUCGAUAUGUUAUACAACAGGUGGUUCUAAUGCUGAUUGGUUAGAACCGCAUUCCAGCCGGUGUCUAUUCCACAAGUUACCACCGGCUAAAUCUAUAACGUGAAAAUGCCUAUUUACUCUGUUCCAUCUGACUGUGCAAUCCACUGUUUCAUUAGACCAGCCAGGCAAUUUAUGAACUUGAUCUCCACGAUAAAAAGCAUCUUUAUUUAUUUUUAUUUAACUAGGAAAGUAAGUUAAGAACAAAUUCUUAUUUACAAUGAUGGCCUACCAAAAGGCCUCCUGUGGGAACGGGGGCUGGGAUUAAAAAUAUAAAUAUAGGACAAAACACACAUCAGAAACAACACUACAUAAAUAGAUACCUAAGAUAAAACACAGCAUGGUAGCAACACAACAUGACAACAUGGUAGCAACACCACAUGGCAACAGCACAAAACAUGGUACAAACAUUAUUGGGCACAGACAACCGUACAAAGGGCAAGAAGGUAGAGACAACAAUACAUCACGCAAAGCAGCCACAACGGUCAGUAAGUGUCCAUGAUUGUCACGCCCUGACCGUAGAGAUCCUUUUUAUGUCUCUAUUUUGGUUGGACAGGGUGUGAGUUUGGGUGGGCAUUCUAUGUCUGGUGUUCUAUGUUGUCUAUUUCUUUGUGUUUGGCCGUGUGUGGUUCUCAAUCAGAGGCAGCUGUCUAUCGUUGUCUCUGAUUGAGAACCAUAUUUAGGUAGCCUGUUUUCCCACUUUGAAUUGUGGGUGAUUAUUUUCUGUUUAGUGUUUUUUGUCACCUUACAGAACUGUUCGUUUGUCGUGUUGUUGUUUUGUUAGA